rnacentral:rRNA from 1 species
CCUACGGGUGGCAGCAGUGGGGAAUAUUGCACAAUGGGGGAAACCCUGAUGCAGCGACGCCGCGUGAGUGAAGAAGUACUUCGUUACGUAAAGCUCUAUCAGCAGGGAAGAAACACUGACCUUACGGUCAGCAGACGGUACCUGAGUAAGAAGCCGCGGCUAACUACGUGCCAGCAGCCGCGGUAAUACGUAGGGGGCAAGCGUUAUCCGGAUUUUCUGGGUGUAAAGGGAGCGUCGACGGGGCGCCAAGUCUGGAGCGAAAUGCGGCCGCUUAACUGCGGAACGGCUUUGGAAACUGGCGGUCUUGAGUGGCGGAGAGGCAGGCGGAAUUCCUAGUGUAGCGGUGAAAUGCGUAGAUAUUAGGAGGAACACCAGUGGCGAAGGCGGCCUGCUGGACGACAACUGACGGUGAGGCGCGAAAGCGUGGGGAGCAAACAGGAUUAGAUACCCCGGUAGUC